UAUCGUUAUUCCUCUGCUCUACAAGAAAU
rnacentral:piRNA from 1 species